CUCUCUCACCCUACUCUAAUAAGGCUUUAAUAUCUGGAGCUCAUAGGUGGGAGAUAAAGUAUACAUACUCACAAGACAUUUAUUAUAUAGUCAAACCAUGGAUCCAAAGAAACAAAUCAAUAAGCCAAAUCAAGAUGUGCAUGUGUGGCGAAUGAAUAGUGUAUGGUGAUGAUGGUGAUAACAAUGGUGGAAGUCUAAUUCUACUUUUGCUCUUUUGAGGGGAUACAUACCUUCCUUGCUUUUUGAAACUUUAUGAGGAGAAUGAGAUGCUCUUCUUUUUCUUUUCUCUCAGGUGGGUAUCUUGUACCCCUAAUUCUACUGUCGGACACUUGUCCAUUUUUACCUCUCGUCUCACUUUUUCUUUUCUUUCGAGGUUCCGGGCACUUGCCCCUUUUUAUUUCCUCGUAUCUCUUUUUUCUCUCUCUUUUGUUAGAGCACUCAUCUCUUGAGAUAAUGUAGCAAGUGGUAGUAACAAGAUAACUGGAGCAUUUAUUUCACAAGAGAAAACAGAAAUAUUUUUGUUUAUUCUCUCCCGGAUUAGGAGUAGAAUAUUUUUGGGUGAUUCUGGAGAUGGAAAUGGAUGGAUAUAUGUGGAUGGUACUUCCGGAGUAGAAGUAGCAUAUAUGAGUGAACGUGCAAGUGAAAUCUUGAUUUAACCACAUG
rnacentral:lncRNA from 1 species